GUUGAUUUCAUGAUUAUGCUUGCUUUUUUUUAAGGUUGCUUGAAACUGAGGAAAAUUGUCCAAUGUGUUCUGAAAAGAUUAUCAAGGAAAACCUGCAGAAAGUGACGGACAUCAACAAAUACCUCCACCCAGAGGAGGGGACCAUAGAGUAGAGGAGGGCACUGUAGAAGGGAACACUGAAUGCUAGUCCCUCUGUUACUGAUUCCACAGAUCAUGCCCCCUCUUCUUGUUUACUGAACUGUUUCUGUGAUAUGAUUUUACCUGAUGUUAAGAGACAUUACAGACAUAACUCCGUCCAAUGUCUAUACUAUGAAGGAUGUACACUUUAUAGAUCUGAAUAAAUUUUGUAAUUCUG
rnacentral:misc_RNA from 1 species